rnacentral:rRNA from 1 species
UACGGAGGAUCCGAGCGUUAUCCGGAUUCAUUGGGUUUAAAGGGUGCGUAGGUUGUUUUAUAAGUUAGCGGUGAAAUACCGAUGCUCAACAUCGGGGCUGCCGCUGAUACUGUAGGACUAGAGAUCGGAUGCAGCAGGCGGAAUGUGUAGUGUAGCGGUGAAAUGCAUAGAUAUCACGCAGAACUCCGAUUGCGAAGGCAGCAUACCGGCGCCCAACUGACGCUGAAGCACGAAAGCGUGGGUAUCGAACAGG